UGCCCAGCAACUUCUAUCCCUACCUCCUCGUGGUACUGGCCGAGGCACGAGUAACCUUGGGGAAGA
rnacentral:ribozyme from 1 species